UACGUAGGGUGCAAGCGUUGUCCGGAAUUAUUGGGCGUAAAGAGCUCGUAGGCGGUUUGUCGCGUCUGCUGUGAAAACCCGAGGCUCAACCUCGGGCCUGCAGUGGGUACGGGCAGACUAGAGUGCGGUAGGGGAGAUUGGAAUUCCUGGUGUAGCGGUGGAAUGCGCAGAUAUCAGGAGGAACACCAAUGGCGAAGGCAGAUCUCUGGGCCGUAACUGACGCUGAGGCGCGAAGGCUAGGGGAGCGAACGGG
rnacentral:rRNA from 1 species